rnacentral:rRNA from 1 species
ACGCUGGCGGCGUGCCUAACACAUGCAAGUCGAGCGCGAAUGGAGCAAUCCUAGUAGAGCGGCGCACGGGUGAGUAACACGUGGGUAAUCUGCCUGGAAGUUCGGGACAACCUGCCGAAAGGCUGGCUAAUACCGGAUAAGCCCACAGGGUCUUCGGAUCCCGAGGGAAAAGAUGGCCUCUGCAUGCAAGCUAUCACUUCCAGAUGAGCCCGCGGCCCAUCAGCUUGUUGGCGGGGUAAUGGCCCACCAAGGCAACGACGGGUAGCUGGUCUGAGAGGACGAUCAGCCACACUGGAACUGAGACACGGUCCAGACUCCUACGGGAGGCAGCAGUGGGGAAUUUUGCGCAAUGGGCGAAAGCCUGACGCAGCAACGCCGCGUGUGUGAUGAAGGUCUUCGGAUCGUAAAGCACUUUCGACCGGGACGAAAACCCGCUGGCCAACAUCCAGCGGUCUGACGGUACCGGGAGAAGAAGCACCGGCUAACUCUGUGCCAGCAGCCGCGGUAAUACAGAGGGUGCAAGCGUNGUUCGGAAUUAUUGGGCGUAAAGCGCGUGUAGGCGGCCUUGCAAGUCGGGUGUGAAAGCCCUCGGCUCAACCGAGGAAGUGCGCCCGAAACUGCAUGGCUC